UACGUAGGGUGCGAGCGUUAAUCGGAAUUACUGGGCGUAAAGCGCACGUAGGCGGGUUGUUCAGUCAGGGGUGAAAUCCUGGAGCUCAACUCCAGAACUGCCUUUGAUACUGGCAGGCUUGAGUGUGGCAGAGGGGGGUGGAAUUCCACGUGUAGCAGUGAAAUGCGUAGAGAUGUGGAGGAACACCGAUGGCGAAGGCAGCCCCCUGGGCUAACACUGACGAUCAUGCACGAAAGCGUGGGGAGCAAACAGG
rnacentral:rRNA from 1 species